rnacentral:rRNA from 1 species
UACGAAGGGUGCAAGCGUUAAUCGGAAUUACUGGGCGUAAAGCGUGCGCAGGCGGUUAUGUAAGACAGAUGUGAAAUGCCCGGGCUUAACCUGGGAACUGCAUUUGUGACUGCAUGGCUAGAGUUUGGCAGAGGGGGGUAGAAUUCCACGUGUAGCAGUGAAAUGCGUAGAUAUGUGGAGGAACACCGAUGGCGAAGGCAGCCCCCUGGGUCAAGACUGACGCUCAUGCACGAAAGCGUGGGGAGCAAACAGG